rnacentral:lncRNA from 1 species
UAUUUACUUCAGAUAUAGUUAUAUGGUUAGUAAGAGGAAAUGGAAAAGGACAAUGUAGGAAUUAAAUGUGUGUAAUAAGUGCUUGAUCUCUAGUUUCUUGGCCUGUAAAACUUCGGAAAAAUCGAGCUGAGUUGAAUCAACCGAAUACUAUCUACGAUUGUAUGUAAUAAGUGCUUGAUCUCUAGUUUCUUGGCAUGUAAAAGCGAAAAUAUCGAGCUGAGUUGAGCCAACCAAAUACUAUCUACAAAUCAAGAAAAUAUUUACUUCGAGCUAAAAAUCUUGAAAAAGCUUGAGUGUGAUGGUAAGAUUUUCUUUCCAAGAAAAGGGCAACAAGAAGAAGAAGGGACUAAAUCCAUUUGUGUGAAAUAGAU